UCACUGUAAGAGUCUAGGGGCCUCGUGAUGCAGACACUGCUGCCUAAGAAGUUGUACUGACAGCAACUCCUAUGUAAAAAGUAAGUGGAGGCCCAGGGUAUUCCAUCACAAGCGUUACCGCCCGUGUCUGAUUUUUCUCAGCCAGGUGUCUUUGGGGAGUCUUCUGGACAACCCAGGAAUUGAAAUAACUGUAGACCUUGAUUCUGCAUAACUAUUUACACCUUUCCCUCCUUUUUGUUACUCAUGUUUGUGAAGAACACAAGUAAGUGAAAAGAACAACCAGCCAACGAAAUAAACUAUGGAUGUACCUAAGAGUUCAGUUCAGUUUAAUUACAAAUACAUACAAGGACAAACAAUAUUCAGCACCAUUUAACUGGUCAAACUGGAACAGUUUUUGUGAAGCUGAAAGGGAAAAGGAAAGGCAGAGAAGAAAGAGGUAUCAAGGGGAAAAGUGCAAGAGCAAAAGCUCUGAUGGCACUACAGAGUUUGAUUUUUUGUCUCUUAAACUUUUUCCUGGUCAUCUUGUUGACUUCCUCAUCUUUCAUGGCCCUCCUUAUGGCCUGUUUCAGAGUCCUCCUUUGCCCUGGUCCCAUGGGGUCAGCUUUUCUCAGCGUCCCAGAGAAAGCAGGAACAGUUACCCACUGCUGGUUUCUGACAGCAGAGUACAUUUGGUUCAGCUGAAGCCAGGUAUACAAGUAGCGUAAGAUCAGAAUCGGGCCUUUUGCAUGUGUCUUAAGGGAUAUGAACUGUAUCCUUUGAACUGCAUUCUUGAUGAUAUUUGUCACACAUUUCCUCAGCAACUUCAAAAGGGUUUGAGUCCUUUGAUUACAGUAGUGUUUACCUACUAUCUUAACUAACAGGCAUUAGCUCAGAACAGACAUUCACUUAAACACUCCCUUUAUUAACUUUUCCCGCAAGUGCAAAAAUGCUUUCAUUUACAAACAGCCAUGUUAACGUCCCUGGUUAAAUAUAAAGCAGUAUUCUUUUGAGAUCAAAAACAUUAAGAGUGAUAACCAAGUAUGAAUUUCUGUCCUAGAUUUGCAGUAAACUCUGUGCCUGUACUUUCUGCUUUAGGGACCUUAGAAACUUCCUGCCUACCAGUUCUUCACCAUUAACAGCAUGCAGUCACACGCGAGAAACAGGAGCUCUAAGUAUCAAUCUCACUUUUCAUAAAGAAAAUUGUCUCUUGUCUCUAAGAUAAUCACUUAAAAAUGGGUCUAGCACUGUGCCUAUUUUCAGGUUAUUUCCCAGUUCUUUUAAAUUGGUGCCUUAUGAUGGCACAACUGUGUGGCCAGUGCAAUCUAAGUCACGGCUCGGGGAAUAAGCUAGCUCAGUGGCAUAUUUGCUGACCCACAGGGCAGACCUCUCAAGGAUUUUUCCUACCAUUAUGAAGAGUAUACUUCCACCCAAACCUCUCCAGGUAGGCCAGGAGAAAGAUGAGAGCCUGCACAGGUGUAGCAAGGGAACGUGCCUUCAAGCAGCACUCUCCUAAGACAGAAGUGUCCCUUGGAAGUACACUUCUCUCUGUCUUCCUGUUGCGUGUCCCGUAUCAGAUCUAGCUGCUGAGCAAAUCCCAGAGGAGUGUAAUCAGGUAGGGCUGGGGAGUGGCAAUUGCAUGAGUCACAUUUUCAGCAUAUAGAACUGAAAGGCCGGCUGUGGGGAUAGAAUUGAGGCACCAUGCAAAUGAGAUAUCAAAGGCAAAUAAAUACAAAUACAUAUAAAAAUAAUGGUUGAAAUCUCAGCUGAUGGGCAGGUGACUCUUGAAUCGCAUGUAGGUUUUAAGUGGUUCAAGUGUGGUUCCUGCACCAAAGCUCCAUCAUGAGGAUGGCCGGUCUGGGUAACCUGAACCCCAGCUGCUGGAUGAAAUGAGCCAGCUGGUGCUCCUGAGCCUGACAUCAGCAGGUCAUCUGCAAGCCAAAGACACAUGCAGAAACAUUUUGCAGUGGUGAACUGGUGUCCCUGAUGCAGCCUGCUCACAGAGAUUUCCUUUUCUUUUUGGAAAUAGAUGGCACGUGCAGAUCCUGGUCACAUGAAGAUUUUGGUAUAGUGUUCAUAGACCCAAGGCAUUUGGUGAGCUUUUUUACCUUUGCAAAUAAGUGACUUAAAAAUAAAUCCUCUUGGUCUUGCUCACAUAGUCAGCAGGACUACUUUGUCUGAGAAAGAACUGUGCGGAGUUGGAUUCAGAUUUCCUGCUUACUACAGUCACUUACCCCUAUUCAGAGUGCAAAGUACUUGCUAGCCCAGAGCAGUAAUGCUUCACACUUACAUUGCUCAGAUACCAAUGAGUUGACGGGGUCAAAAAUGAAUAAGAAUGAAACCUCUGAACAGGUUGAUAGCUUGCUGACGCUGAGGGUUGCACCGGCUCAGCGCAAAGCUGCCUGCAUUCAUCCAGUUCUGGGGCGAAUGGGUUCAUUCAGCCAGUGGUGCAAGUUAGGGUGAACCUGCCCUGUCCUGCUGCUGCGAAGACACCAGGUCAUUACAGGAGAUCAGAAUUUCUUCUUCCUCUUGUCCUGGUCUUGUCCCUCCAUCAAGGCUUUAAGAUGGCACCCAGAGGAGCAUUCAUACAGACACACAACUUCUCAUUGUCAAAGAGGAGAAUCACUGCAACAUCCAAACACAGCAGAUUUUUUUAAAGAGCAUCUGAUUCUGUAAGAGGCUCUGGGCUUCUGUUUUCACCAUGGAACCCAAGGAAGAUGCAUGGUCUUAUUUGCUUGGCCAAGGCAUUUGUCUCUUUUUCAAGCAACUCUCAGCAUUGCCACGUUGACCAGUGUGGUCUACUACAGCUCUAAUGAGGAGUACCAAGCAAAGUCUAAGGCUACGUUCCAUGUAUUCCAUGAAUUGUUCUCUAUUUGAGAUCUUGCCAGAAAAAGUAGAUGACAUUAAUCCAUUCCAGCACAGCUUCUUUCUAGCCCACUCUUUUUCUGUUUCUUUGUAAUGCAGUUUGUAUGGCAUUCAAUACAUUAAUGUUUCAUAGCAUGUUUAAGUCUCCAUUUAAACUUAAAUCCCAUAUUGCCAAUGUAGCUUGUGAGAAAACAAAAACAAAACCGAAAAACCACAGGAGUUCCACCUUGCAACUCUCACUCAUGAGAAUAAACCUGACUUGUGAAGCCACUGACUACUGAUUUCAGAGUUUGCGCCAAAGAAUUUAAUUUGCCUCUUACAAAGCUUCCUGUACAGUUCUAAGCCUAUACAGGGACUGUUCAUACAUAUAUACAGACAUAGAUAUGUACACAUACACAAAAAUGUAUGGCCAAAGCAGUCAGCAUAAGGUAGAUUCCUAGCAGAUCUUUCCAAAUCCAAAUAUGUGCACAUUUAAUCAGUUAAAAUUUCUACUUUUUUUUUUUUUUUUCAGUUCACUAGCUGUUCAGUUGUCCAGCUGCCAGGUUUUGCUUGGGUUCCUGGAGUAUACUGGCAAUCAGUUCCCUCUGUGUCUCAUACAUCAAAACAGUACAGCUGGAGAGUAGCCCACAUUUCAUUACCUUCCAAAAGGUCCACAUUAGCUGCCUUUACGUUAACAAUACUUCCUGAAGAUAUAUUAGCUUGAUCAAAAAUAUUGCCCAGAAGAAAUACAUUUUAUCUUACCUAGUACUUUGAUUCUCUUUUCUCCUAUAAUAUUUCAAUUCAGAGAAGCUUUUUCUUAGGAAAGAAGAGAGAGCCAGUAAAAAUAUCUGAUGUCCUCUGAAAAGCAGAAGAUUUGUGCCAUAGAUGUUAAUGUCUACCAGUGUCUGUGACAUCUGUUCUGUGGUUAAGAGAAAUCACCAGCAUAUAUUUUAAAUUACCAGGAUGUAUUUUAGAACCAGAACAUAACAAAACCUAGCAAUUUGAAAUUAGGUCCAGUUUUUUUUUUUCUUCUUUUUUACUGUAGCCAUAAGUGUUAUCAAAGAAUUGCACUGGUGAAAAGAAAAUCUGGUAACAAACAAACAAAGUUAAAAAAAGGAUCCUUUUUUUAAGGAUUACUUAAAAGUAAGAUUAUUGCUCUGUAACAUUUAUGCAUUAUUUAUAAAUAACUCCAGUGUUGACUGUAGAUUAAAAAUUACAAAUAAGAUAUCACAGUGACAGGACCAAAUAGGAUGUGGCCCUCCAUUACACAUUGCAAGGUCUUUUCGUGCAGAACUUUGUGAGGUGUGCACAGUGGAAGCAGGGGCCACAGGACCUGUUCACAGCAUCAUUGAUGCUAACAGAAUUGCCUAAAUUGCCUGAAGUGAUUUAGGAUGAGAUUUAAAACCCCAUCCUGCUUCCAUGUAAAGCAGUGUCAAAGUUCUGGUUCUCUGAACGGGUCUGGGAUGCCUAUGAAAGCAUGAACCACCUUGCCAGGGUGCAUCCAGAGAUGUCUGCAAAGGUGAGAAAGGCAGGUGUGAAACUACCUAGCAAAUAAUGAGGAUGAGUGUUUUACAUUCAUCAUCCUGUCACGGAGCACUAGAACUCUGGAAAACUCCCAAAUGGCUUUGUCAUUGACAUAUGAUGGAUCUUAAAUAUGUUUGUCCAGUUCUAAGAGAGUCGCAAGCUUUAAAUAUGGAAAGGUGUUUUCUUUUUCUCUUAAGAUCCCUAUUAGGACAAAAGUGCACCAGUCAGAUGGCAGAAGUGUCUUCAUCAUCUAUAUAUGUAAUCCUACAGAAACAUGUGCCACCUUUCCUAAGAACCGGAAAGGAAUACAUGGAAGACUGGCAGCACCAUCUCCUGGCAGAUAUAAGAAAUAGGGACCACUUUGUGUCAGAACGCAGGGACGAGUAAUUUCUUUGUGGAUUUUAAAAAGGCUGUAACAGGAACUAACUUCACAAGAGUAUAUUCCCUCCCUGGGAAGAUUAACUUUUAUAUGCUUCAGGGAAGAAAAGCAUUUUGUGUUAUUAUAAUUAUGAGGAACACAUACUCACAAUUAUGAAGAACAAAUUCAAGUUGCUUCUGCCUUUAAAAAGCUCUCUCAUGUUGGCCUUUCUGCUUUCCUUUAUAUUGUAGUAAUAGCAGGUUUCAAAAUUAGCACAGCAGGUAAAUUAGUCCAGUUGCAGUGUAUUAGUGUAGUCCUGGAAGACCACAGAAGACCAUAGAAGCUCCCUGUAGUCAGAAAAUAAUGGAAUAUGUAGAUUUCAAGAGAUGUAGCCAAGUUGCUGUCUUGCUGAGUAGGCGGGGGAAAUAGCGGGAUAAGACUAUUAAUGCUGUAAACUGCUGGAUCAUUAACGUGGAAUGCUAUUAUACAUGUUUAGAAAGUGACAAUGGGCCAAACAGCACUAAGUGAGGAUGAGGUCUUCAGAGUAAUGAAAGACUGUAUGGGAAAAAAACCCCCAACAUCUAUGAAGAUAAAAGAGAGGAGACUAAGACAGAUGACUUAGUGGAAGACAGUCAUGGAAGAGAACAGAGGAGAAAAAAAAAAAAGGUGAGGAAGAGAGGAAUUCUAGAAACUUCUACAUUUUUUUCUUGAACACUACUACUGGUGUGCCAGUAGUACUACAUACUACUGGUAUGCCAAGGAUUCCAGAUCACAGUUGUCAGAACAGUCUCAAUCAGCAAGAGGGAGAAGACUUAACCUCAGUGAUCAAGAUACAAGUAUACCAGUCGUUUUGUUAAGUCUUGCAGAUAUGGUCUUGCUACUAGGUCCCAUGCUCCCUGGUGUUAAACAGACACAAAAUCCUCCGUGUGUUACACAAACAUUUGUUGUUGGGUUUUUUUCCAUGUUUUGGAGGUUAUUUUACUUUGAGAAACUCCCAAGUGCUUUUAAAGAAUUUUUUUUGCAGAUGAUCAUGAAAGUGGAAGAGACUUAAGAACUCAUUCAUUCCAUCCUCUUACUCCUUGUAAGACAUUGCACUUCCCAGGAUUUCACCCAACUUAGAUUCAAGAGCCACGAGUAAAAGGGGUUCCAAUAAUUCCCAUGGGAAAAUAUACAGCUUUGUGCAGCCUACUGUCUCCCACAUGGGUGGGGUGGGGCUCCGCUUAUCUCUUGAGCUCAGAACCAAAAUCAGGCCUUUUUCCCUCAGGGGCAUCAUUUACUAUUCAAACAUUCACAAAACAAAGGUAAUCCUGGAUCCUCCUCCAGGACCUGCCCUAAAAUUAGCUUCCUUUCUAAGCAAACUAUUAAAUUUUAUAUUUUAGGAAUCACUCUGGUUAGUGGGAUAACCUCUUUUAUCAAAUACUUGUUCUUAAAGGAACACUUCUUCUGAGCAGGGUUUGCUGCCCAGUUAGCUGUAUCUGCACUUCUCUAGCUUUUAUUAUUAACACAAGAGAACACAUUUUACUGGCUAUAUAUGUUCAAUUAUUUUCUUUCUUUUUUUAUUCCAUCUGCUGUACUUGUGUUAUUUCUCACCGAAACACACUGCAUGCUGUUUGUCAUUCAUUUCUAAUCAUAUUAUAUGUAUUUAUCAUAUCUUUGUUUAGGCCCUAAUGCCUUUAAUAAACUGGCUCAAAUUCCUUAAUGGGGGAAGAGAAGAAUGCAUUCCUAUCAAUACUGGGUAUCAACACACUCCCAAAGUGCUUUGUACUGGACACAAGUUGAUAUGUUUGUAUAAAUAAAUAAAAAAAAAACCCAACACACCCAGACAUACCAUCAGAAUAACCUACUGAUACAAAAUAAAUUAUUGUUAUUAACGUGGAAUAAACAACAUUGCUAAAUCAAUUACACUCUUCUGAAUUACUAUUUACUGUUUUGCUAUUAUAUUGUCUAAACACCUUCAUCUAACCAUGCCAUUGUGAUGGGCUCUGUCAAAACACAAAUCACAAACAGUCGAUAACCCUAAAAAUAUUUACAAGCAAUCAACUUUUAUUGUUAAGGUGUCCUUGUGAGAUAAGAAGUAAAUGGAAGAAACAAAACAUAUCCAGUGGGAAAAUUCAAGUGAUAACAGAAAAAGAAACCUUUUACCUGGCUUCCUCUAUCUUGUUUUGACAAGUUACAAACAGUGAGAGACAGGAAAGUCCACCCAUAAUAAAAAAAUGGAUCUGUACAGGGUUUUCUGCUGUUCAAGAAGUGGUCUGAAAAUAGGUAUAAAUUGUUUGCAGAUAAAACAAGACUAUUCCAAACAGUUCCAUCUAAAGUUGAUUCUAAGAGUUGCAGAAAGAUCCUGCCUUAUUAAAUGUUGUCUGAUAAAAUGGCAAAUGAAAAUUGAUGCUUACCUUAACCAAAUACGCACAGUGAUGAGCACUCGGAAAGAGCUGUUGGAAAGCUGGUGGAGCAUCAACUACCUGAAAUCUCAAUUCUGUACUCAGUGGAGGUCAAAAAAUAGGAAAGUCACUAGAAUUAAGACAUGACCAGAAGAAAAUGAUACAUUAUGUACUUCAGAAUGGGUAUACUAUAACUAAAAAAAUACAGGAAGAGGUAACUAGAACAAGCACAAAUAUGAAAUAAUUCCACACAAGGGAAGACUAACUGAAAUAAGACUUUUCAUUUGGGAAAAAAAAAAAA